GCCUGACGCAGCAACGCCGCGUGCGGGAUGACGGCCUUCGGGUUGUAAACCGCUUUCAGCAGGGACGAAGCUUUUUGUGACGGUACCUGCAGAAGAAGCACCGGCCAACUACGUGCCAGCAGCCGCGGUGAUACGUAGGGUGCGAGCGUUGUCCGGAAUUAUUGGGCGUAAAGAGCUCGUAGGCGGUUGAUUGCGUCGGAAGUGAAAUCUCAAGGCUUAACUCUGAGUCUGCUUCCGAUACGGGUUGACUAGAGGAAGUUAGGGGAGAACGGAAUUCCUGGUGGAGCGGUGGAAUGCGCAGAUAUCAGGAGGAACACCGAUGGCGAAGGCAGUUCUCUGGGACUUUCCUGACGCUGAGGAGCGAAAGCGUGGGGAGCAAACAGGCUUAGAUACCCUGGUAGUCCACGCCGUAAACGGUGGGUACUAGGUGUGGGGGACAUUCCACGUUCUCCGUGCCGUAGCUAACGCAUUAAGUACCCCGCCUGGGAGACGCCGCAA
rnacentral:rRNA from 1 species